UAUGAGAGUUUUAGGCAUACUUUAGUGGCACUUGAAUUAGAUAGUCUAAGGAUUGAAGUGAUUAUUUGAGUGUUUAUACUAGAUGGUUUACCACAGGAAAUCUUUGUACCACUGAAAGAGGAGUCAUAUAUUGAAAAGCAGUGAAUACAGAUUCUGGGUCCAGAAGCCCUGCCUCCACGGAUUUUGUGGAGGACAGGAUGAGGGAUGUGGGUCAGGAUGGGCUCUGCCGAGCUGCUUUCUGCAUCUGGGGGUGCAUCUUUGUCUUGUCCAAGUUGUAAGUUUCCUGGGCAUUGCCCUCGUCCUUCUGUGUUGGAAUCUCCAUUUCAUAGAGCACUCCUUUCAGCUUUGUCCCAGAUGACAGGUGGCCUCUGAGCUUCUACAGCCCCAUAUUGAAUUCCUUUGCUUGUGGCCUUCUACCUGCACCAUCUUCCAGCGCCAACUUUGUCUAUAGGGCUUUGCCAACAGUUGUAAGAGAAACUUAUUUUUAAAAUAUAUAAAACCCUGCUCUUUUAUAUUUUACCACUAAUCUCUUUUCCUAGUUUUGUAUUUUCUACAAAAUUCUUAUUGUUUCCCAUGAUCUGUCAACAACAGGCAACUCAUACCUGAUCCCAAUGACAGUCGGUGCUACAUUGGAUCUGUUUUUUUUCUAGUUUUUUUUUUAAAUUAUUAUUUCAUUGAGAUUUGGAGAAUAAGAAGAAGUAAACACUUUUAUUCAAGCCUCCAGUGCUGACUCUCCCCAGAUGCCUUUGGAACUGCUCCAGAUGUUUAUGCUUUCCUUUCAGGUUAUCAUGCUGCUUUAUCCAGAAGAAUCAAACAAGAAAUGAAGGGCCAUCGUGAUCUUCAAAAAGUCUUCUUCUCAGCAAACUGCUGGAAAUACCUGAAGUCGAGCAUUCAUAAGCAUGAACUCCUUUUGAUUUUUC
rnacentral:lncRNA from 1 species